CCUACGGGAUGCAGCAGUGGGGAAUAUUGGGCAAUGGGCGCAAGCCUGACCCAGCAACGCCGCGUGAAGGAAGAAGGCUUUCGGGUUGUAAACUUCUUUUGUCAGGGACGAAGCACGUGACGGUACCUGACGAAUAAGCCACGGCUAACUACGUGCCAGCAGCCGCGGUAAUACGUAGGUGGCAAGCGUUAUCCGGAUUUAUUGGGUGUAAAGGGCGUGUAGGCGGGAAUGCAAGUCAGAUGUGAAAACUAUGGGCUCAACCCAUAGCCUGCAUUUGAAACUGUAUUGCUUGAGUGCUGGAGAGGCAAUCGGAAUUCCGUGUGUAGCGGGGAAAUGCGUAGAUAUACGGAGGAACACCAGUGGCGAAGGCGGAUUGCUGGACAGUAACUGACGCUGAGGCGCGAAAGCGUGGGGAGCAAACAGGAUUAGAUACCCGAGUAGUC
rnacentral:rRNA from 1 species